rnacentral:rRNA from 1 species
AGGUUGACCUCGGAUCAGGUAGGGAUACCCGCUGAACUUAAGCAUAUCAAUAAGCGGAGGAAAAGAAACCAACAGGGAUUGCCUCAGUAACGGCGAGUGAAGCGGCAAGAGCUCAAAUUUGAAAGCUGGCCCCUUCGGGGUCCGCAUUGUAAUUUGCAGAGGAUGCUUCGGGAGCGGCCCCCAUCUAAGUGCCCUGGAACGGGACGUCAUAGAGGGUGAGAACCCCGUAUGGGAUGGGGUGCCCGCGACCAUGUGAAGCUCCUUCGACGAGUCGAGUUGUUUGGGAAUGCAGCUCUAAAUGGGUGGUAAAUUUCAUCUAAAGCUAAAUAUUGGCCGGAGACCGAUAGCGCACAAGUAGAGUGAUCGAAAGAUGAAAAGCACUUUGAAAAGAGAGUUAAAAAGCACGUGAAAUUGUUGAAAGGGAAGCGCUUGCGACCAGACUCGCCCGCGGGGUUCAGCCGGUAUUCGUACCGGUGUACUUCCCCGCGGGCGGGCCAGCGUCGGUUUGGGCGGCCGGUCAAAGGCCCUCGGAAUGUAACGCCUCUCGGGGCGUCUUAUAGCCGAGGGUGCCAUGCGGCCAGCCCGGACCGAGGAACGCGCUUCGGCACGGACGCUGGCAUAAUGGUCGUAAGCGACC